UGGGGAAUAUUGCACAAUGGGCGCAAGCCUGAUGCAGCCAUGCCGCGUGUAUGCAGAAGGCCUUCGGGUUGUAAAGUACUUUCAGCGGGGAGGAAGGGAGUAAAGUUAAUACCUUUGCUCAUUGACGUUACCCGCAGAAGAAGCACCGGCUAACUCCGUGCCAGCAGCCGCGGUAAUACGGAGGGUGCAAGCGUUAAUCGGAAUUACUGGGCGUAAAGCGCACGCAGGCGGUUUGUUAAGUCAGAUGUGAAAUCCCCGGGCUCAACCUGGGAACUGCAUCUGAUACUGGCAAGCUUGAGUCUCGUAGAGGGGGGUAGAAUUCCAGGUGUAGCGGUGAAAUGCGUAGAGAUCUGGAGGAAUACCGGUGGCGAAGGCGGCCCCCUGGACGAAGACUGACGCUCAGGUGCGAAAGCGUGGGGAGCAAACAGG
rnacentral:rRNA from 1 species